GAUACAUUUGGGGAUUGAUGGAUUUUCCAGGAAGGUUCUAUGGCUAAAGGUGGGCACAUCCAACCGCAAGCAAAACUUUGUGGCCAGAUACUUCUUUGAGGCUGUUCAAGAACAGGGUGGCUGUCCUCAAAUGAUUCGGGG